UCAAUCUCGUGUGGCUAUAAUUACCACCGGUCCCUCUAAGAAGAUUUUCAUUGUACGCCGAUAGUUGAAGACCGCAGGCACGCGCGAACGCGCCGCGUGAACGACGCGCCGCGCGGCCGCGGACCCUCGUGAUAUCGGUAAUACGUCUAUUUAAUAGGCUAGAGUUACGUUCGUUAC
rnacentral:rRNA from 1 species